GACAGAGGGUGCAAACGUUGUUCGGAAUUACUGGGCGUAAAGCGCGUGUAGGCGGCUAUGCAAGUCGGAUGUGAAAGCCCUCGGCUCAACCGGGGAAGUGCACCCGAAACUGCAAAGCUAGAGUCUCGGAGAGGAUCGUGGAAUUCUCGGUGUAGAGGUGAAAUUCGUAGAUAUCGAGAGGAACACCAGUGGCGAAGGCGGCUACCUGGACCGGUUCUGACGCUGAUGCGCGAAAGCGUGGGUAGCAAACAGG
rnacentral:rRNA from 1 species